CACAGGAGAAGGCUCCGUGGCCCCCUGGGGUUGGUCAGUCUGCCAGCACCCAAUUUGCAUGCACCCGCUUGGGAGGGGUUGGCCCCAAAUUCGAAUUGACGCCUGCGCAGUGGUGUUGUUUAUGACAACGGCAACCGGAAACCGGCGCCAUCUUGGAGUUGGCUUCCCACAGAGAGGAGAGGGAGAGGAGAGGGAGAGGAGAGGAAGAGGAAGAGGAAGAGGAAGAGGAAGAGGAAGAGGAAGAGGAAGAGGAAGAGGAAGAGGAAGAGGAAGAGGAAGAGAGGAGAGGAGAGGAGAGGAGAGGAGAGGAGAGGAGAAGAGAAGAGAAGAGAAGAGAAGAGAAGAGAAGAGAAGAGAAGAGAAGAGAAGAGAAGAGAAGAAAGAGAAGAGAAAAGAAAGAGAAAAAAAGCCAAACCCAAAUACUGUAAAAUGGGGGGUUGGGAGGGUUGUUUUCUAUCUAUACAAAGAUGCACAAGGCUUGCUGUUUGCCUCUCAUUCUUGCAAACAAGGAACUAAGAUUGAGCAGAAGCCACAGGAGCUGGGUUCAGCUCAGACUUUCCCAAGCACAGGAUGUUUUGCUGUAGAGAGUGCGUAGAUAGGGAGUUGAGAGUCCCUGGAGGAUCAUUGACCUUGUUCCAGUAGAUGGACGUUUGAACCAGGGGACCUCUAUUCAGGAGCACCACCAUUAUCUUCUGGCCUUUGUCUGAAUCUGCAGUGAGAAGCUGAAGAUUAAGAUGACAAAAAGAGACAUUCUCUUUUAUCUCUAGAAGACUUCAAAGUCCUAGAGGUUCAAAAAAAAAAAAAAAUCCAAAGAGGGUCAUAAAAGACCCCAGCUCUCCCUCUUAUCCACCUUUGUCCCUAAACUUUCCUAGAGUGCUUGUAGAAGAACCUUCCUUCUCCUUUAGAUUGCCCUUUCAGAAAGUAAUCCACCUUUGACUUAAAAACAAUUACGUUUAGGGGUAUGUCUGUUGUAGGUAUGUGCAAUGGAGUGCAGGGACCUGCACAGACCAAAGGCACUGGCUCCGGAGGAAGCUAGAGUUUUAGGCCAUUGGGAGCUGCCCGAUGUAUGUGAUGAGCACUGAACUCAGGCUCUCUGGAGGGAGUGCAUGCUAUUCUUAAACACCAAGCCACCUCUCUAGCCCCUCCACACAACUGUCUUGUAAACAGAUGGAAGAUUCUGGAAAUGAAUUUACAUAUAUAUAUUUAUUUUGAGAAAACUAUCACUCCUGCCUUAAAGCAAACCUCCUUGGUAAUUGGGGCUACCUUGACACUACUCCUUACAGACCCUCAUCCUUACUUCUGGCGACUGAGCCUACAUACGCAUCUAGACAAGUGCUCUACCACCGACAUACAUACUCAGGCCAACGGCUUUAUUUCUAAAGCUGAGAGAAGAUGCCUUCUUUGGUGCAGAUACUCUAGAGGAAUUCAAUCAGUCCAGCCCUGACUGGGGUGUGAAGGAGCAGCUUCGGUCCUCCAAAAGCUCCAGAGAGUUGGUACCAGUAACCCACGGGUCUCCCAAACAUAUGGGUGAGUCAUGACUUGUUGGCGACACCACUCACCUCUGUUUUGCCAGAACAAAGCCAACACCAUUCUCUAUAUAUCGUUUUCUCUUGGUUGCGGCCACCUCCACCAUAUAGGCCCUAAGAUGGAAGGAGAUGGAGAAGCUUAGCUUGUCUCAAUACACAGAUGUCUUGUGGAUUCAUCAGUUAGAAAACAGAACAGCAGAAAAUUAUCUUCCAGUUUCCAAGCCAAGCAACGUCCUGGGCCUCCAAAGAAAGCCCUGGGAACAGCCCUGGUGAACAAGCGCCUUGACCAAAGUGGAGAAGCUGGCAGACCUGGAAGCGGGGAAUGUGAAUACCUCUCUGUCUCGGUUUUCCCAGGGCUGCUCUAGAUGGGAAGAUGGUGAAAUGCAUAAGACAGCUCCAGAUGGUGGAGACUGGCUGGGCAGGUGGAGCUUGAGAUGUGUAAUCCUCCUGCCUAUCUCCAGUCUGGGAUUAUAGGCAGAAACCAUCAAACUCCAGCCAAGUCUCAUCCCUUUUGAAGCUACUUACACCCUACUUAUUCCUUAUGGUUUUUUUUUUCCUGAUUCUGCCCACGGGGUUUCCUCCCUCAUAUAUAUAUGAGGUACACACACACACACACACACACACACACACACACACACACACACCUCCCAGUGGUCUGGUCUGCGGAAUCCCCUCCACAAUGUAAGUUCUGCCUAGAGACAGUGGCAUCAAAUCUACAGGUACAGUCUCUUCUAAUAGCUUACCAACCACAAACUUGGGUUUUUUCCAAAAUAAACGCUGCAGGGGCAAAGCAGAGUGACUUCUUU
rnacentral:lncRNA from 1 species